rnacentral:rRNA from 1 species
CCUACGGGAGGCAGCAGUAGGGAAUAUUGCUCAAUGGGGGAAACCCUGAAGCAGCAACGCCGCGUGGAGGAUGAAGGUUUUCGGAUUGUAAACCUCUUUUGUUAGAGAAGAUAAUGACUGUAUCUAACGAAUAAGCACCGGCUAACUACGUGCCAGCAGCCGCGGUAAUACGGAGGGUGCAAGCGUUACUCGGAAUCACUGGGCGUAAAGAGGGCGGAGGCGGGAUAGCAAGUCAGAUGUGAAAUCCUUGGGCUUAACCAUAGAACUGCAUUUGAAACUGUUAUUCUAGAGUUUGGGAGAGGUAGGUGGAAUUCUUGGUGUAGGGGUAAAAUGCGUAGAGAUCAAGAGGAAUACUCAUUGCGAAGGCGGCCUGCUAGAACAUAACUGACGCUGAUGCGCGAAAGCGUGGGGAGCAAACAGGAUUAGAUACCCUAGUAGUC